rnacentral:tRNA from 1 species
GGACCCGUGGCUUAAUGGAUAGAGCAUCUCACUACGGAUGAGAGGAUUGGGGGUUCGAGUCCCUCCGGGUUCA